UACAGAGGUCCCAAGCGUUGUUCGGAUUUACUGGGCGUAAAGGGCGCGUAGGCGGCCACCGCAAGUCGAUUGUGAAAUCUCCGGGCUUAACCCGGAAAGGUCAACCGAUACUGCGGGGCUAGAGUGCAGAAGGGGCAACUGGAAUUCUCGGUGUAGCGGUGAAAUGCGUAGAUAUCGAGAGGAACACCUGCGGCGAAGGCGGGUUGCUGGGCUGACACUGACGCUGAAGCGCGAAAGCGUGGGGAGCAAACAGG
rnacentral:rRNA from 1 species